rnacentral:lncRNA from 1 species
UAAAGAUUGGCCGUGAUUAUAUUGAAAUUCUUUGUAAAAUAAGUGGGUCAUCUUCCAUAAGGUUGAGUUCUAUAGAUUGAUUGAGAACGGGAUGUUUAUAAUAAGAGUAGGACCCCUGUGGUUUUAGCCACAAGGCUGCCAUGUCACAAGGCUAUUCACCUCCUCUGUUCUCAGCCUUCUAGGUGGAUAGUAAGUUCUCCAUUCCUUACUUUGAAGAAACACCUGUGUAUUUAACAUUGGAAUUUCCCCUAAUGCUUAUCUGUGAGCACAAAGAUCUUGCUUCCUGUAUAUUCCCCCCACCCCCUUAUUUUUUAAAGAGAAAAUUGUGGUUAUAAUAGAGGUCAAGGUUAAAUGCAUUGCCUGCAUGGGUAGUCUCUAUAGGCAAAUGUAAUAGGAUUAUAUGAAUAUCUAAUAGGACCAAGGAAAGGGGAACGCUGUCUUUUUUUUUUUUAAAAGACUUAUUUAUUUAUUAUAUGUAAGUACACUGUAGUUGUUUUUAGACACUCCAGAAGAGGGUGUCGGAUCUCAUUACAGAUGGUUGUGAGCCACCAUGUGGUUGCUGGGAAUUGAAUUCAGGACCUUCGGAAGAGCAGUCAGUGCUCUUAACUGCUGAGCCAUCUCUCCAGCCCAUGGGGAACGCUGUCUUUACCACAAUAGUUACUUAAAGGUCACUUGAAAGAUUUUAUCUAUUGAUGGAAAUCAUUAAUUUGACCUUCAGUAAUAUGAAGGAAAUCUAAUGCAUAAAGGAACACAUGCCAGAAAAUUAUUGACAACCAAGAUUAUACUUGAACAACACAUAAUCCAUAUUAACUCUUUUUUUUUGUUUUUUUAAAUGAUGGUUUUUACUUUGCCCAUCUCUUGGAUAAUUUCUGCUAAUAUAUUUGAUUUUAGUAGUUUUAUUAAUUAUAUAGCCAUAUUUUCAUCUUGUACUGUGAUUGAUAAUUAAAAAACAUAAAAACAACCCUUAGCAUUUAAAAACAUCAUACUAUUUCCUUUUAUACGAAUGCCUUUACCCCCAACCCCAUGACUC